rnacentral:miRNA from 1 species
GUUACAAUAUAUAUUUUUCGUUGCAAUAUAUAUAAAUUUUAAGUUACAUGUUUGUGAAGUGAUAUAUUUUAUAUUAAUAUAUUUUUUUAAAAUAUUUUUAAAAAUUUUAUAAC